rnacentral:rRNA from 1 species
UACGAAGGGGGCGAGCGUUGUUCGGAAUUACUGGGCGUAAAGGGCGCGUAGGCGGCCGAUCAAGUCAGAUGUGAAAGUCCUGGGCUUAACCUGGGGACUGCAUUUGAUACUGAUUGGCUUGAAUUCGGGAGAGGAUAGCGGAAUUCCCAGUGUAGAGGUGAAAUUCGUAGAUAUUGGGAAGAACACCGGUGGCGAAGGCGGCUAUCUGGACCGACAUUGACGCUGAUGAGCGAAAGCCAGGGGAGCAAACGGG